AUUGAACGCUGGCGGCAGGCCUAACACAUGCAAGUCGAACGAGUGGCGGACGGGUGGGUAAUGUCUGGGAAACUGCCUGAUGGAGGGGGAUAAGUCCGGGAAACGGUAGCUAAUACCGCAUACCAUCAGAUGUGCCCAGAUGGGAUUAGCUAGUUGGUGGGGUAACGGCUCACCAAGGGGACGAUCCCUACCUGGUCUGAGAGGAUGACCAGCCACACUGGAACUGAGACACGGUCCAGACUCCUACGGGAGGCAGCAGUGGGGAAUAUUGCACAAUGGGCGCAAGCCUGAUACAGCCAUGCCGCGUGUAUGAAGAAGGCCUUCGGGUUGUAAAGUACUUUCAGCGGGGAGGCGUUACCCGCAGAAGAAGCACCGGCUAACUCCGUGCCAGCAGCCGCGGUAAUUC
rnacentral:rRNA from 1 species